rfam:Picea glauca, whole genome shotgun sequence.
ACAUGCCUACAGCAUAGCGUUAAUGCAUCGGAUCCCAUUAGAACUAUGCACUUAAGCGCACUCAGGCUAGAGUAGUACUUGGAUGGGUGACCACCCAGGAAGUCCUAAUGUUUUACAUGCC